AAAAACAUUGUUUUUCGUUUGGAUGUGGAAAAUAAGGCCUGCUCACUGAAUUAUUUAAAGAGCUGCGAUAAUUUAAUCGUACAAAGGUAGCAUAAUCAUUUGUCUUUUAAUUGGGGACUGGGAUGAAAGGUUUAACGGGGAAAUAUUUUCUUUAUAGAAGAAAUUGAACUUUAUUUUUUUGUGAAAAAGCAUAAAUGUAAUUGAAAGACGAGAAGACCCUAUUGAGCUUUAUUACAGUAUACUUAUAACAAUAUUAUAUUUAUAUGUUUAUUGAAAUUUUACUGGGGCGGUAGAAAGAAAAUUAGUAUCUCUUUUUUAAAAAAUUAUUAAAAAAUAUUGAAUUAUCCAAUUUGUUUGAAUGAUUAAAAAGUUACCAUAGGGAUAACAGCGUAAUUUUUUUGUAGAGUUCUUAUCGAUGAAAAAGUUUGCGACCUCGAUGUUGGAUUAGGAAUUCUAGUUGGCGCAUAAGUUGAUUUUAGAUAGUCUGUUCGACUAUUAAAUUCCUACAUGAUCUGAGUU
rnacentral:rRNA from 1 species